CAUUGAAAUGGAGGUAAGACGGAAACUCCCAGGGUCAAAAUCCCUAAUCGCGGUAUUUGUUCCUCAAACACGCCGUCGUCGACGACGCAACCGGAACCCGGAUCACACGAAGCUCAACAACUGCGAGCAAACAAACUUCCCCAAUCUAUGGUGCAACGGCCGCGACUCUCAACCGAGUUCGACCAUCACUCGCAAUCGCGAAUUCAAGCGCUUCGUCUUCUGCACGUGUGUACCAGUGUUGGCUUUGCAAGAGCAUUCUAGGGGUAUGCUCAGAGUCACGUUCCGAAAUUCGAGAUGAAGAUGAAAGUGACUCAAUCGUUCACUCUUCAUCUCUGCUUCACCUGGCCUGCACGAAUUCAAGAUGAAGACGAGAGGAGUGAGAACUCACCGUAUCAAUGUCGGCAAUACGCUCUUCGUGGAUUACUUUGUCAUCUUCUCCUUCCGUAAUCUUCCCUCCUCCUGCAAACGAAUUCUGACACGGUUUCAACGUCGUCAACUACUUUACCGAUAACACUUCUUCAUCUCUCUGUUCCCUUUCCCUCUUAUCUUACUUUAAUCUCUGCUUCUUCUUUGCAUAUGCUCAUGGUUAUUGUGAAUUGCAGCAUGAAAAGUUGGCGGCAGAGUGAUGACAGAAGAUUAGAGACUCUUGGUAUGAAGAAGAUUCCCGCCGUAGAAGAAGAAGAUUGGAGUGAAGAACAAUGGAGAUUGGAAUGAAAGGGAAGAAACGGUUGUGAAUUCCAUUUCAUAGUGAAGUCUGCCCCGUGAAAAAUAAGUUCUGCAGGUUGAUGCAGUUGGGAAUCCGGCCGCCAAGCAUAUCCUGCAGCAUACUGUCAUGCUGGUGUAUUGCAACAGCUAUUUCCUUGCUGGCUUGCGUCGAGUGCAUGAAGUUACACGCUUAUUCAAUUGGAGAAUUCAAACUCAAAUCGGUUAGCAGUUGAGGUUUGUGAGCUGGUUCAAUUAACUUCAGUAUGCACCGUUUCUUUUGGUUCAGUUUUGUGGAGUGUUGCUCAGAAGGGAAUGAAAUGGUAUUGCUUGUGUCAAUUUUCCUGCCAAGUACUGCUUCUGCUAUCUACCAUG